CCUUUUCCUUCACGCGUACUAUACAAUCAUUCCAUUCUAAAUAUUAAACCCUAAUUUCAUUCCUUCAUCUACGCUCCUUUUCAAUCUGGAUUCAUGGGAGCAAUGAUUUCUCUCUGGUUCUCUCUCUAGACGUCUCUUGCUGCUGGAUCCCUUAUUAUGUUGAUUUCUUGGGCUACAAAAGUUGCUGAAGCACCUAAUACUGAUAUGGAGUUCUGGAAAUCGAUUGUACCUGGCCCAUACCCACUUCAAAAAUCCCUAUAUCUCAAGCAUUUGAACUCUCAUCCAGAGAGUAAUUUGAAAGCUUCGGAAGUGGUUAGCAACAAUUCAAUCCAGUCAUGGGUUAGUACUUUUAUAACUUUAAUUUGAUUCUAUACAUGUUAUUUUCAGUUUGUUGUUUGUAUUUUGAUGGAUUGUAUUUUGAUUUUUAAUCGACAAUGGAACAUGAGGCUUUUCACUGGUAGAUGAAAAUAGGUUAAAAUGUUGAAUGGGUCUAACUGAGUUGAACAAAAAAGAUGAACGAGACUAACUAGGAUGAAAAAGAAAGAAUGGGGAUAUUUUUAUUCAGAUUUUUGUUUUUUUACAUU